AAAACCCAACUCAAGUACUCCUGCUCUCCUCUCCACCCCUGCUCCGUCCGCUCACCACUGCCCCUAUUGCCCCGUUGUUCUGGCGACGGCCGGCGGCGGCGCCUACCUCGCGCCUUCCCUGCUGCUCCGUAGCCCCCACCCCACUCCGUCCGCGGAUCGGCUUGGACGAGGAUAUCCCAAACGAUUUGAUUCAUGCACUUUAUGGUGCUGGGAUUCGACCAGAGGAGGGCCAUGAACCUGCGCCGCACCCAUGAGGAGCCCAGAUUGGGAGAGGAUGGCCUCGAUUCGUGCGCUUUAGGUGCCAAGAUUCGAUCCGACGAGGGCCAGGAACCAGUGACGUCAAGGAGUCCGGUGGCGGAGGGUGCCCAUGUGGGUGGGACUCUAUGGCUCCAUAUUUGUAGAUAGAGUACUCUUGUAGAUAUUGUUCUUUCUUAUUCAGUUUUCGGAAUCUCCAAGUGUGACGGACGAUGGUCAGGGAAUGUUUCUUUGCGCAGUUCUUGGCUGAAUCAUUCACCCGUGCUUAACUGGGAGUACGUUUGGUGAGGCUGAGCCUGAGGAGUAAACUGGUCUAUUGCUUUUAGUAACAACUCUAGUUCAAAGCCCUUCAAAUUCUUUGGAAGGAAUGAUGUGAACAUGCAAGAAUCAUUUGACACUAGGUUUUCUAAUGGUACCUGAUACCUGUUCUGUUUGCUGUGUCUGAUAGUUUUCGGUUAAUAUGCAGACAAACCUUCAAAUAUUUAUCCCAACCUCUGUAAUCAAGUACAUUCAGCUGGCAUGAUUUCUAAUGCAGUACUCCACUACUGUUUGCUAGGAAAAUGGAGUCCGCUAGCAUGCUGUUAGUUUUCUGCACUUUUUUUAUUGAAGGGGAUGACAUAUUAGGCAGUGCAUUUAUAUCUGAUAUGUUUAAAAGGGAAACAGUCAUACACCUGAACAAAGUAGUUGUCAGACCCCUGUGGUCAUCUCUGGAACUAAAUAUUCCCUUUACUCGUUUGGCCUUUUAUAUGAGAUCCAUCUGAUCGUUUCCUCUGAUAGGUCCAGAUGUUGCAGAACACUAACAGGUAAGAGCAGCAGCAUCUUGUGCACUGCAUUCAUUUAAUUGCUUCCUUAGCUAUUGUAUUGGGAGAAAUGCAAUUGAGUGACUGAAAGAGACUGAGCUCCAGAAUGACCACAUGAACCUCAGAACUAAGAUUGAGGAGGGAGAGCAACAGCUGCAGCAGGUGACCGUGGCCCGGUCUGCCGCCACGCAAGUGCAGAGCUGAACCCAUUCUUGGAGCUGAACCUCAGCUACCAGCUGGCGCCACCGAGCGGCGACCACAUCAAUAAUCCUCAUCAGUUCUAAGCUGCACGAGGAGCUAUUGAGGCAAACUGUCGUCGAUAAUGGAAGCUGACAGUUCGUAUUGUAGUGUUAAACAAUUUAACCUGAUCAGUAUUGUAGAAUAUUUUGUAAAUAUCUCUGUACACGCCACAUGUUAGUCUUAUCAGACUGAAUAAGGCUAAUGACAAAAAUAAAAUGUGUUGAGCUCGCCACAGUCCAGGCUGGUACAUUCGUUCU